UACGUAGGGGGCAAGCGUUGUCCGGAUUUAUUGGGCGUAAAGGGCGCGUAGGCGGUCAGGUCAGUCCCGUGUGAAAUCCCUCGGCUCAACUGAGGAACUGCACGGGAAACUGCCUGGCUUGAGUUCGGGAGAGGGAAGCGGAAUUCCGGGUGUAGCGGUGAAAUGCGUAGAUAUCCGGAGGAACACCGGUGGCGAAGGCGGCUUCCUGGACCGACACUGACGCUGAGGCGCGAAAGCUAGGGGAGCAAACGGG
rnacentral:rRNA from 1 species